AAUAACCUCAUUUUUCGUUUUUCCGUGUCCAACGUUUGACCAUUCGUCUUGUUUAAAAAAAUUGUAAAAAAAUCUUUAAAAAAUAGUGUAUAAAGUACUAUUUAUAUUUUAUCAUCCAGUAACAAUAAAAAUAUUAGUCACAAAAAAAUUUCAAAUAAGACGAAUGGUCAAACGUUGGACACGGAAAACCA
rfam:Oryza brachyantha chromosome 7, whole genome shotgun sequence.